UGUUGAAAAAAUCUCAACUUAAGAACAAAUGGGACAAGUUGAAGGCUGAUUUAGGUGCUUGGAGAAAAUUGAUGAGGAAACAAACCGGAACCGGUUGGAAUUGGGACAAGGGAACUAUCAACAUGGAUGCCGAGUGGUGGAAAAAAAACAAAAAAUGACAUACCUGGUGUCGGGAAAUUUAAGAAUAGGCCUCUCCAAAAUGAAGAUGAGAUGAAUGUAAUGUUUGGGAGCAUCAUAAAUGAAGAGAUAGAUCAUUGGAA